CUCUUUCCAAGAUCGCAAACAACUAAAUGGUUACGCCUCAGAAGCCACACCUUAUGGAUGGCAUUCUCAAAGUGACAUCAAAUAUAAGAAAGAUGAAAGAAACUUAACCAACCUCAGAAGAAACUAUUUACAUAAUUACAAGCAGUAACUACAACAUUGAUAUGGGAAUAUGUGCAAAUCAUUCCUAAUCACUUACAACUACUUUGAAUGCAGGCCAUUAUACACAAAUUGAAUCCAGAAACCCAGUAUCAGGCAACUUAAGAUUGGUCAAGGAGAUAAAUUUUAAGUUAGCUUGUUAGAAGCUGCUCCUACUGGAAAUGGUACAUAUCAUCAUUUUCCAUGUCAUCAAGAGAGGUUGCUGCUGCUUCACUCGUCUCACCUAGUUCAGCCUGUGAAAAUAAUUGAACAACUCAUUACGGAGAUUGACCAUUCAAAAUUGAUCCACAGCAUCUAGAGAAGAUGAAUAAUAUCAUUUUCAAUAAUCCGUUAUGAAGCCAGAUUCUCUCCUAUGAUAUUUGACAUAACUAGUUUGAGCUACUUGGUCUUUAGCAGAUAAAAAGUGUAAGAAGCAAUUUAAUGACAUGGCUCUUGUUAGUUCCAUAAACUACAGUCAACAUCAGCUUAGAGAUAAGAGGCUUAGAUAAGACGUUAACCAGUUGGAUCACAGUACAUUUCUCAAAUUCCAUGUCAAUAAAAUAAAAAGUUUUGUUCUACUUACUUUGGCUUGGCGGUAACGUUCAAGCAUCCGCUGAUAUUGCUGGCGUGCCUCUGGAGAAUCAACCAUUGACAGCACGCGUGAGACAGACUCAUCAAUAGCUCCAUCAACUUUUUGUUUGCGGAAUACCUUGAGAAUAUCUUCAUCUUCACUUUCAUCAAUGGGUUCUACGUCAUUCCGGAAACCCCGCAAACCAGCUCCUUUGCGUCUCCACCUCAGCACAACCUUAUCUAGAAUUCCAACAGCCCAACAGAUUACCUUGUAGUGCUUCCUAACUUGAUAACCUCUCACGUGAGCCUGUAUCUUAACAACUUUCUGUCGAAAUGCUAGAAAAUCCUUGCGACCUUUCCACCCUCUAUAUUUCUUCUGAAUAGACAAAGCAGCUAAAUUGUAAUCACGUGCAUUGCGAAAGGCCAGUUUUGACAUAGCUGAAAGCCCUUGAAUAUCACCAGAAAUGACACCAUACUCAUCUAUACUAUUAGUAGAGGUAAGAGCUUCUCUCUCUUGUCGCUUUCUGAAAGAAUGUGCUCUGAAAGCAGA
rnacentral:misc_RNA from 1 species